rnacentral:rRNA from 1 species
AGUGAACGCUGGCGGUAGGCCUAACACAUGCAAGUCGAACGGCAGCACAGUAAGAGCUUGCUCUUACGGGUGGCGAGUGGCGGACGGGUGAGGAAUACAUCGGAAUCUACUUUUUCGUGGGGGAUAACGUAGGGAAACUUACGCUAAUACCUCAUACGACCUACGGGUGAAAGCAGGGGAUCUUCGGACCUUGCGCGAUUGAAUGAGCCGAUGUCGGAUUAGCUAGUGGGCGGGGUAAAGGCCCACCAUGGCGAGGAUCCGUAGCUGGUCUGAGAGGAUGAUCGGCCACACUGGAACGGAGACACGGUCCAGCUUCCUACGGAAGGCAGCAGUGGGGAAUAUUGGACAAGGGGCGCAAGCCUGCUCCAGCCAGACCGCGUGGGUGAAGAAGGCCUUCGGGUUGUAAAGCCCUUUUGUUGGGAAAGAAAAGCAGCAGGUUAACACCCCGCUGUUCUGACGUUACCAAAAGAAUAAGCACCGGCUAACUUCGU